CAGCAGUAGCCACGGGAAUACAGAGGGUGCGAGCGUUAAUCGGAUUUACUGGGCGUAAAGCGUGCGUAGGCGGCUUUUUAAGUCGGAUGUGAAAUCCCUGAGCUUAACUUAGGAAUUGCAUUCGAUACUGGGAAGCUAGAGUAUGGGAGAGGAUGGUAGAAUUCCAGGUGUAGCGGUGAAAUGCGUAGAGAUCUGGAGGAAUACCGAUGGCGAAGGCAGCCAUCUGGCCUAAUACUGACGCUGAGGUACGAAAGCAUGGGGAGCAAACAGGAUUAGAUACCCGCGUAGUCCCUGUCUCUUAUAC
rnacentral:rRNA from 1 species